rnacentral:rRNA from 1 species
CGUAGUAGUUUCGAGUCCGUGGACUCGAGGACGACGCUGGCGGCGUGCCUAACACAUGCAAGUCGAACGGAGCUAUUUUGUUUAAUCCUUCGGGAAGCGACUUUUUAGCUUAGUGGCGGACGGGUGAGUAACGCGUGAGUAACCUGCCCUUCAGUGGGGGAUAACGUUCUGAAAAGAACGCUAAUACCGCAUAACAUAGCAGCAUAGCAUUAUGCAGCUAUCAAAGAUUUAUCGCUGAAGGAUGGGCUCGCGUCUGAUUAGCUUGUUGGUGGGGUAACGGCCUACCAAGGCGACGAUCAGUAGCCGAACUGAGAGGUUGAUCGGCCACAUUGGGACUGAGACACGGCCCAGACUCCUACGGGAGGCAGCAGUGGGGAAUAUUGCACAAUGGGGGAAACCCUGAUGCAGCAACGCCGCGUGAGGGAUGAAGGUUUUCGGAUUGUAAACCUCUGUCUUCGGUGACGAUUAUGACGGUAGCCGAGGAGGAAGCUCCGGCUAACUACGUGCC